rnacentral:sRNA from 1 species
AAAACUUAAAACAAUGAAAGCCCUUCCUCUCUUCCAUCCUUGCAGUUCCGAGACCGCGCCAGUGUGAUUUCAGCUUUUCAAUACUUC